rnacentral:lncRNA from 1 species
GAUUGGUGAAUGAGCUGAUAAACGAAAGUAGUUAGUAAAGAAAUAUCAGUGGUCAUCUGAGCCUCCCCACCCAGCAAUAUUUGUAGCCCUAAUUUCUUCAGCCAGUUGUGGAGUAUUCAUUCACUCCAGUCCCCCCAUUCUUUUCGUACUACCUGAAAUCCCUCCUGGGUUUUUUUAAAAUUAUAAAGCCCAUACUAUGUCUCUUCUCUCACACUUUCUCAUUAGCACAUCUGAGCAGCUGAAUUUCACCCAUAGCACCUCCCGGGGUUUGGUCAAAGGAAGUUCUAGGCUCAUGAAAAGCUCUUCCUCUCAGACGUUCCAACCUUAGUUGAGAGCUCUCCACAUUUACAGUUUACUAUUUUUGCUUUGAUCAUCAUCAUCAUUAUUGAAAAUUUCCCCCAGAGCUUCAGGCAGAGCUAGGUAGACAAAAUACUUCGGGCCUGUUUUUAUCUUCGUUUUUAAUUUUAAAUGGAGAAAACAUGGGAUGGGUGGAGGAAGCAAAAGUGCUUUCUACUCGAGUGAGGUUUAAAUUUCUGAACGCCACUAUCCAAGCUCACUCUCCACUGGUUCCGAUGAGAGCUGGGGCAAACCGGAUUUCCCUUUCUUUGCAGUGAGGAAAUUGCCUAAUCAUUUGCAGGCUAAGAGGAAAGACCGCACUGCAGAACAACUUAUUUUAAUAGGAAGCACCAAGACUUCUUAUCUUAAUGCUAACGACCGCCCGUGUGUAUUAGAUGAUCCCCUGAGCUCCUUUCCUUUUGUCUCCUUGAGUUUGAACCCUUAAGACCACCUGAACGGUGGGGAAAUCCUCCCUCCACGUGCAUUGCUUAUCUCGCCACGAGGGGGCGCUCCCAGAUCAGAGACAUGCGGCUGCCGCCCACCCACCUGGCGGCCGCCACCUCCUGUGCAUGCAUCAUCUUCGCGCACCUGCCCAGACUCCUGCCCCACUAAGACUCCCUGAAGUCCAGGUGCAGCCCUGAAGGCUAGAGCAAGGUCACUACCGAGGAACAAGAUGUUCUGUGAGGCGUCCCGGGAUCUCUGUGAAAACUCCGGACCUCUGGGAAGUCAAUGGGGACUGCGCUGAGGGCCUACUGUGUGCCAGGGCUUUAUGCAACCCAAGUUAUUCACUCCACAAACACUGAGGGCCUGCAGAGGUGGCUGUCCAAGAAGGGAAGGAAGCUGAGGGUGAAGGAGGGAGCCUGACCCUCAGACCAGUUUCCCUGGCAGCCAGCAGAGCAUUCUGCAGCACAUGAACAGAAUGUCCACUUCAACCUGUGAGAGAUUGUUUGGGAAGAUCCGGAUGUGUCCCUGAAUCAACCCAGCACUGUGCUCCCACCUCCGUGUGGCAAAAUUGGCAUUGGGUGACUUUUGGGGCCUGACACUCCCAUGUGAGAAAGCCAGCCUAGCCUCCCAGAAGAUGAGGGUCUCCAGCCAGGAGCACCAGCUGCUGGCACUGGAGUGAGCCCAUGUAGGACACUUCUGCCCAGGCCACCUUCCAGUUGCCUGCAGUUUCAGAAGGGAGCCCAGGAGAAACCCACAGGGGAAGUUCACCAGGUGAACGGAAUCCUGAUGCACACAUGCACCUCUGGACCAGAGAUUUUUGCUUUGAUGUGAUACCUCAGUGGCCAGGGUGAUUCUCUCUUGCUGCUGAUGGAUGUGCUGAGCCCUUUUUUUUAAUCGGUUGCUAUGACAACAAGGGACUCCAUUUCCUCUAAAGAGGUUGGUAUCUUGUGGGCAAUUAGAUUCUGGCCAUACCAUUACCUAAUUCUUCUGUCUGAUCUGAGACCAGGUCAAAGCUGGCUUCCUUUGCUAAUCUCCUUAUUGCUGAAUUGAAUUCUGAAGCUGUUUCUUGCCCUUGCUGUCUGCUCAGGCUGCAAUUCAGAUAGAUACUUAGAGGCUUCCUUUUGGAUUCUGCAUCUCUCCCUUUCUGGGCUCUGAGCUGUAACAUCCCUUAAGUCAAGUUAGAUACAGAAUGAGAGCCUUCUUCUGUUCUCAGCCCCUCACUCCCGUCAAGGCCCCAAAUGGCUUCCUGGAACAUUGGCAACAAAAUCUUAGAUGCUCA